GAGGAAUAUUGGUCAAUGGGCGGGAGCCUGAACCAGCCAAGUCGCGUGAAGGAAGAAGGAUCUAUGGUUCGUAAACUUCUUUUGCAGGGGAAUAAAGUGCAGGACGUGUCCUGUCUUGUAUGUACCCUGAGAAUAAGGAUCGGCUAACUCCGUGCCAGCAGCCGCGGUAAUACGGAGGAUCCGAGCGUUAUCCGGAUUUAUUGGGUUUAAAGGGUGCGUAGGUGGUUUGAUAAGUCAGCGGUGAAAGUUUGCAGCUUAACUGUAAAAAUGCCGUUGAAACUGUCGGACUUGAGUGUAAAUGAGGUAGGCGGAAUGCGUGGUGUAGCGGUGAAAUGCAUAGAUAUCACGCAGAACUCCGAUUGCGAAGGCAGCUUGCUAAGCUGUAACUGACGCUGAGGCACGAAAGCGUGGGGAGCAAACA
rnacentral:rRNA from 1 species